ensembl:snRNA U6 U6 spliceosomal RNA
GUGCUAAAUUUGGCAGCACUUAUACUAAAAUUAGAAUGCUAUAAGGAAGAUUAACACGGCCCCUGUGUAAGAAUGACAUGCAAAUUUGUGACGCAUUCCAUAAUUUU